UUAAAAUUUUACGCACUGAGCUAUAGGUUGAUCAGAUCUGUUGUAUGAGUCAGAACCUGAAUAAGAACAAUUAUCAACUUUUUAAUGUGCAGGUUUAUGACUGCAUUACAGAUCUUGGUGGCUGCCUGUACAUGCCAUUUCAGUAGUUGGAUUAUGCAUUACCUGUAAUUUGUCAAGUGAUUAGUUAUUACCAAUAGGAUCUGGACCUUAUUUGGUUUGGUCAAUUUAGUCAUUGAACAUCCAUUUUUCUAAAUUUAUUGGUAUUUUUAAUAUGCCAUUUGUGUCAGCACACUAAUGUCAAAUCUUGUAAUUGUUUGUCUACCAGGAAAUCAUAUUAUUAAGGUGUCUCUGUUACCAAUGGAUAAUGAGUAAAAACUUCAUUUGUGAAUAUUAUAUGCCAAAACGUCUUCCUUUGUGCUGCUCCUGUGUCUAAGAAAUUCACAGGGAAGAGGCCUUACGAUAGAGGGUUUUACUUCUCUUUUCUGCUUUUUUUUCAUUCACCAUACACAAAUCUUGGUCUUCAAUUUAUUUUAUGUCCCAUGAGUGACCUGACAUUAAUGUGAUGCUAUGUAAGCCUAGCGUGUAGAGUGAGUCAAGUAUGUAGUAGAUGCACUAAUUUGGCUCAUUGCCUUGCUUCACUGCUGUGUAGAUGCAAAACUUUGUUCUCUUGUGCUGAAUGUUUGCCACUGUUUUCCAUUUUUGCUCAUUCUGAUCUAACCAAAUGGACCCCAUGGAUUUGAGGUUGUCAUGCAUGUCAUGUUUGGAUAUGCCCUUAUUUGUAUCAAAAUAUAUGGAUGGUUGCUCUUAUCAUUUCCAUCUAUAUAUUUCACUUGACUAGCCAUUAGCGCUGUGGGUUGCUACCGAGUGAACUGUUUUUUUUUUAAUUUGCAUUGUUUGUCAUUCUCCUGCUUAUUAUUGUUCGUUUCAGUUUGUAGGGCUUGUACACUCCACCGUCUAAAAUAAAUCUAGCCAAAAGGUGGUUGAGAGACAUUUUGUGGUGCCACUAUUUUCUUCCAGGUUUAGGCGCUUUGACUCUACUAACUUUAGCUAGGUGCUACAUGUGCUUUCUGUAAUGGCAAGGAUAAAUUACUACCCUAUUUCGGUACAAUGCAGAUCAAAGAUUCAUGUCCUAAAAUGAUUUGCUCGGCUUCAUGCAAUUGAACUGUUAUCGCAUAUUUACGAGCCCCUGGCAAGCCGGCAUUUAGGUCUCCGACUAAAGCUCCUCCUCACCACCACGGGUGCACGUCGGCGUGGCCACCCUCCCCUCCCAACUGUAGGGGCAAAUGACCCGUGGGCUCAGGUUGUCUAGCGAUUGGCUGGGUCAGGCGUUCUUGGGUGUCCGCGCGGCCUCUCCUGGGUCAGAUGUGAGAGGAAACUGAGAGGGAAGAUCGGACGACCAGGAAACGUCUAUCUCGGGGGAUCGCUGGGAGGCCGAGAUGCCCAGAUCAAAGUGGAAAUAUCCUACCUGAACCGUUGUUGAUACAAAGAUGUGCCACGUGAUUGUUAUAUUGAGAGCAAUGUAUGACUGCAUAUAUUCUCUUUGGACUUUUUGAACCAAGUCGCAAACAUCUUAGAAAAGGACAGUGUGUGUGAGUUUUUCUAUAUCCAGUUUGAAUUCAGAAGCAUUAUGAAUUCAUUGUGUGCUUCCCUCCUCUUCCAAACUUAGUUUGGUUCUAGCAAUAGUUGGUUACUUCUUUUACCUAUUUGCCGCUUAUGUCUCCUACUCUUCAUGGGAAGAUAAGAGUUGUAUCUAGAACUGCAGUGUUUGAUUUAAGGAUCUGCUAGGCAUGUCAUGGCAAGUAAUUUUACCUGCCAAUUGCCAUGCUCCAGCAUAAAUUAUGUCCUGUUGUAGCACCUGACAUUCAGAAACUCGGUGGCCAGGUAUCAUCCUUUAGAGAAAAUAAUACCUUCCAUUCAGAUUAUUAAUGCGUAAUAUUUUGCUUGAGAA